CCUACGGGAGGCAGCAGUGAGGAAUAUUGGUCAAUGGGCGGGAGCCUGAACCAGCCAAGUCGCGUGAAGGAAGACGGUACUUAGGAUUGUAAACUUCUUUUGUCGGGGAACAAAGGCGGUGAAGCGUCUCCGGUUGAGUGUACCCGAAGAAAAAGCAUCGGCUAACUCCGUGCCAGCAGCCGCGGUAAUACGGAGGAUGCGAGCGUUAUCCGGAUUUAUUGGGUUUAAAGGGUGCGCAGGCGGGGGAUCAAGUCAGCGGUAAAAUUUCGGGGCCCAAACCCGGCCGGCCGUUGAAACUGGUUUUCUAGAGUUGGCGAGAAGUAUGCGGAAUGCGUGGUGUAGCGGUGAAAUGCAUAGAUAUCACGAAGAACUCCGAUUGCGAAGGCAGCAUACCGGCGCCAUACUGACGCUGAGGCACGAAAGCGUGGGGAUCGAACAGGAUUAGAUACCCUUGUAGUC
rnacentral:rRNA from 1 species